CACGGGGGGAGCAAGCGUUGUUCGGAAUCACUGGGCGUAAAGGGAGUCUAGGCGGUCAGAUAAGUGGAAUGUGAAAUCCCUCGGCUUACCCGAGGACCUGCAUCCCAAACUGUCUGGCUUGAGUAUGGAGAGGAUGAGGGAAUUCCUGGUGUAGCGGUGAAAUGCGUAGAUAUCAGGAGGAACACCGGUGGCGGAAAGCGCUCAUCUGGCCCAAUACUGACGCUGAAGCUCGAAAGCUAGGGGGAGCAAACGGG
rnacentral:rRNA from 1 species